ensembl:snRNA U6 U6 spliceosomal RNA
UCGCUUUGGCAGCACAUAUACUAAAAUUGGAAUGAUACAGAGAAGAUUAGCAUGGUCCCUGCGCAAGGAUGACAUGCAAAUUGAUGAAGCAUUCCAUGAAAAA